GACGAACGCUGGCGGCGUGCCUAAUACAUGCAAGUAGAACGCAGUUGCGAACGGGUGAGUAACGCGUAGGGAACCUGCCUCAUAGCGGGGGAUAACUAUUGUAAACGAUAGCUAAUAACGCAUACUGUGAGAUGGACCUACGUUGUAUUAGCUAGUUGGUGAGGUAAAGGCUCACCAAGGCGUCGAUACAUAGCCGACCUGAGAGGGUGAUCGUCAACACUGGGACUGAGACACGGUCCAGACUCCUACGGGGUGCGGCAGUGGGGAAUAUUGCACAAUGGGUGCAAGCCUGAUGCAGCAAUGCCGCGUGUGUGAAGAAGGCCUUCGGGUUGUAAAGCACUUUCAGCGGGGAGGCGUUACCCGCAGAAGAAGCACCGGCUAACUCCGUGCCAGCCGCCGCGGUAAUUC
rnacentral:rRNA from 1 species